UUCUCAAGAAUGACUUCAGUCAUGCGAAGUGCAUUUCUCUCUUGCUUAAAAAGAGGGGGGAAAGGGAGCCCACCAAUUAAGCCUUAACACUAUGCUUCUGUGUUUUAUUUGAUUGAAUUUACUUGUUCAUUAAUAUUUUUAUGUGUUUGCUUUGCUUUAAGUUUUCAGGUGUUCUGUGCUAAUUACCUCAACAUUUCCUUACAUUGCAUGUUCCUGAAUGGAGAGGCUCACUCAUGAAACCAGAGAAAGGUUGACGAAGGAAGUGUGAGGAGGAGAGUACACAGCUGUGGGUGAAAUAAUGAGACACCCAUAGAAUCAUAAAGGCUGGGAAAACCCUCCAAGAUCAUUAACUCCAACCUUGACCCAAUACCUCCAUUAAACCUUGUGAUGAAGUGCCAUGUCUACUUGUUUUUUGAACAUUUGCAGGGAAGAUGACUCUGCUACUUCCCUGAGGAGUCUGUUUCAAUGCUUAGCCACUCCAUGAGUGAUCCAAUGUUUAUGCAGGACCAGGAAUCCAUAGAUUACAUUUUCAGUCUUAAAACUGACCUCUUGAGACCUUGUGGAUAGCAGCUGAGAGACCUGGGGAUGAAGAUCUCAAGGAAAACUGGAGGAAUUACCUGAAACGUGGAAGAAUCGUAAAAAGAUUGACUUCACUGUAAAGCAUGAAGCGGUACCUCAACAGUCCAAAGAAGUGUUGGUUAUCAGAAGAAAAUGUGUACUUUUGGAGUGUCCUAAUUGACGGGUCCAGCAAUUUUCUGUGAAGUGUUGACAGCAAGCAGACCUUUGUUUGGAGAGAAAAAAACGCAAUCAUCAGUACAUUGCAGAGGCCUGGCACUCGCAGUCCCCUAUUAGCUUUGUGCAUUACUGACCUCCACAGGCAUUUCAGGGGAAAACACAGCAGGAAGAGAUGAAGGGCCAGUGAUAAAGAGCUCUGUCAAGUUCCACUGGCUCCAUGUCACACUAUACUUCAAGAUCGAAGUGAAGCUCUGAUCACAUCAAAGCCCUCUGGGUGCCACUGCAUCCAGAUCAAGACUCAGUUGGAUGCAUUAUCUUCCUCAUUGGUUCACACCAAAUUUCUCUGUGUAUAUGAAACCCAGAUUUGAAGAUGUGAUGAAAUAAAAAAUUAUUGAAGCAGCAGCAGCAUGUGAAAAUAAACUAUGAAAUCAGUCAAAACAAUUGAUUUUAUAGAUAUUGAGACUAUGCUGAGGAUGUUGAAAUCUUCAAGGAUGUAGAAGAAUGGUUGGAAAUCAUCUGAAAGUCUGCAAUCACAAGUAGAUUGCUCAACUGAAUGCCCUUAUAAACAUGCUGUUAGGGGAACUCACCCCUGGUGAUCAUCAGAACAUCAUGACAAUGUGCACAAUUGAUGUACAUGCGAGGGAUGUUGUAGCCACGCUUAUAGCACAGAAGGUAAUUU